rnacentral:rRNA from 1 species
UACGGAGGGUGCAAGCGUUAUCCGGAUUCAUUGGGUUUAAAGGGUGCGUAGGCGGGCUUGUAAGUCAGUGGUGAAAGCCCGGGGCUUAACUCCGGAACUGCCGUUGAUACUGCAGGCCUUGAGUACGGUUGAGGUGGGCGGAAUACAUCAUGUAGUGGUGAAAUACUUAGAUAUGAUGUAGAACACCGAUUGCGAAGGCAGCUCACUAAAGCGUAACUGACGCUGAGGCACGAAAGCAUGGGGAUCAAACAGG